AUUGAACGCUGGCGGCAGGCCUAACACAUGCAAGUCGAACGAGUGGCGGACGGGUGAGUAAUUUCUGGGACACUGCCUGAUGGACGGGGCUAACUACUGGAAACGUUAGCUACUACCGCAUACCAUCCGUUGUGCCCAGAUGGGAUUAGCGUGUGGGUGGGGUAACGGCUCACCAAGUGGACGAUCCAUAGCGGGUCUGAGAGGCUGACCAGCCACACUGGAACUGAGACACGGUCCAGACUCCUACGGGAGGCAGCAGUGGGGAAUAUUGGACAAUGGGCGAAAGUCUGAUGGAGCCAUGCCGCGUGUAUGAAGAAGGCUUUCGGGUUGUAAAGCACUGUCAUUGGGGAGGCGUUAUCCGCAGAAGAAGCACCGGCUAACUCCGUGCCAGCAGCCGCGGUAAUUC
rnacentral:rRNA from 1 species